ensembl:lncRNA
GGGGUUGAAAUACUAAUCUUAUGGAUACUCUCUUCUUGGUGCUUAUUAGACUUCUGAAGAAGUUGAGACGAAGAAAACAGUAUACUAAAUGAUGGUUUAAUGGGAGAAGUCUCAAGACAAGAACAUAGAAUACAAGAUGAUGGAGAGAAACAGUUUAUAAGAAAAAGUACCAAACAUUUAACAUAUUUGAGAUGAAUGAGGAUGGAUGAGAUGACUGUUGCUUUCCUCACGGGUCAGUUCCCUCUUCCAUCAGUGGAGCUCUUGAAAGUCGGAAGAAUGUGAAGCGGUGUGGUAGGAUGAAGCUAAUGCUGUGGCCUUUACGAGUGGAAAGAAGUGCGGGCUCAUCCUUCAUUCUUACAGUGAUCACAGAGUGCACAGACUCUACUGGAGACAGCAAAACAGGUUGAAGAUCAAAGAGCCACGUCUCAGCCGCUUUUCUGCGAACAUUCUCUGUCCUAAGCUAUUUGGGAGAAGUGUGGAAGUUGGAAACAGCGAUGAAGCUCGCCCCACUACCAAGCAGGGGCUCUCAGUCCUCCAGACGUCACAUUUGCCUCCACCCCUCCUCAGUGUUGGCGAGGCCGAGGCCGGCUCUGCUCGGGCGGAAGGGGCACAGGGCCACAGCCUCCCCUCGCAGCCAGUCUUCUCACAGGUAUGCGCUGUGGGGUGUUGGGGGGCUGGGUGGGGAAUCGCCAACUGAUCCGUCCAUCACGAAUUCACGUGCUUCACAGACUAUGGUGAGCAUCUCGGGGCACGAGACACCUGUACCGAGCACCUUGGAGGGGCUCCCGUUUAUGCUCAGACCACCCAAUGGUGCAGCACAGACGCUCCCCUUUCACAGACGCAAAAGGUCAAGGAACUCAUUCAGGCUCCUACAGCAGGAAGCGGCGGAGUAAGAGAACUCUGUGUUUCUUUUUAAUUUCAGAAUUUGUUCACUGGACGUGAACAUUCCUGACAUUCAAAAAGUCAUAGAGAAAACAUAUUAAAACCUGCAUCCUCCAUACACAACUCAAGAAAUACAGCUCGGAGGGGCUGGCCCCGUGGCCGAGUGGUUAAGUUCGCGUGCUCAGCUGCAGGCAGCCCAGUGUUUCGUUGGUUCGAAUCCUGGGCGCAGACAUAGCACUGCUCAUCAAACCAUGCUGAGGCAGCGUCCCACAUGCCACAACUAGAAGGACCCACAAUGAAGAAUAUACAACUAUGUACCGGGGGGCUUUGGGGGAAAAAGGAAAAAAUAAAAUCUUUUAAAAAAAAAAGAAAAGAAAAGAAAUACAGCUCAUACCUCCCCCCGUUCCACUAAACCAUGUGGCCUCCAAUUCCUCCCACCUGGGAAACACUGCACAUGGCAUCACCAUCCACUCCCCAGUGCAAGCCAGAAAUCCAGCAGGCACCAGGGACCCCUCCCUCUUCUGCCAAUCAAUUACCAAGUUCAAUUAAUUUUGAUACCUGUUUCUACUACCUUUACCCUUCUCCUUUCUACAAUAUCAUCUCUUUUCAGGGUUACUGCAAUGGCCUCCUAACUGGGUUCCCUGCAUCUACGCUUCCCUUUUUCCAGCCUAAUCUCCACAUUACAACCACCAACCUUCUCAAAACCUUUGAAGAGCUGCCCUUUGCUCUUAGGAUACUGA